rnacentral:lncRNA from 1 species
GGGGUCUUAGGCAUGAGUUCUUGGCAUGAAAAAAAGAGAGGAGAGUCCUCUCCCUUAGGUGUGCACAAAAUCCUAGUUUUUAGGAUUUUGAUCCUUUGGAUUUAGGAGAGAGAAAAAGAAAAGAAAAAAAUUAUUUUCUUCUCCAUCUUUCUUUUACUUUUUCAUAUCCUUCAUAAGUCUAUCUUUAACUUUUAAAAAAGUUUUAAAGAUUUGAAGA